AACGAACGCUGGCGGCAGGCUUAACACAUGCAAGUCGAGCGCCCCGCAAGGGGAGCGGCAGACGGGUGAGUAACGCGUGGGAAUCUACCCAUCUCUACGGAAUAACGCAUGGAAACGUGUGCUAAUACCGUAUACGUCCUUCGGGAGAAAGAUUUAUCGGAGAUGGAUGAGCCCGCGUUGGAUUAGCUAGUUGGUGGGGUAAAGGCCUACCAAGGCGACGAUCCAUAGCUGGUCUGAGAGGAUGAUCAGCCACACUGGGACUGAGACACGGCCCAGACUCCUACGGGAGGCAGCAGUGGGGAAUAUUGGACAAUGGGCGCAAGCCUGAUCCAGCAUGCCGCGUGAGUGAUGAAGGCCCUAAGGUUGUAAAGCUCUUUCACCGGUGAAGAUAAUGACGGUAACCGGAGAAGAAGCCCCGGCUAACUUCGUGCCAGCCGCCGCCGUAAGAC
rnacentral:rRNA from 1 species